AGUCGAACGGCAGCACGGACUUCGGUCUGGUGGCGAGUGGCGAACGGGUGAGUAAUGUGGUAAUGGAACGUGCCUGCAGCGGGGAUAACUACGCGAAAGCGUAGCUUACCGCAUACGCCCUCGGGGGAAAGCGGGGACCUUCGGGCCUCGCACUAUUAGAGCGGCUCAGAUAUCGGAUUAGCUAGUUGGUGGGGUAACGGCUCACCAAGGGCGACGAUCCGUAGCUGGUUUGAGAGGACGACCAGCCACACUGACUGAGACACGGCCCAGACUCCUACGGGAGGCAGUGGGGGAAUUUUGGACAAUGGGGAAACCCUGAUCCAGCCAUCCCGCAUGCGAUGAAGGCCUUCGGGUUGUAAAGCACUUUUUGCAGGAAAGAAACGGCACGGGAUAAUACCCCGUGCAACUGACGGUACCUGCAGAAUAAGCACCGGCUAACUACGUGCCAGCAGCCGCGGUAAUACGUAGGGGUGCAAGCGUUAAUCGGAAUUACUGGGCGUAAAGCGUGCGCAGGCGGUUCGGAAAGAAAGAUGAAAUCCCAGAGCUUAACUUUGGAACUGCAUUUUUAACUACCGAGCUAGAGGUGUCAGAGGGAGGUGGAAUUCCGCGUGUGGCAGUGAAAUGCGUAGAUAUGCGGAGGAACACCGAUGGCGAAGGCAGCCUCCUGGGAUAACACUGACGCUCAUGCACGAAAGCGUGGGAGCAACAGAUUAGAUACCCUGGUAGUCCACGCCCUAAACGAUGUCAACUAGCUGUUGGGGCCUUCGGGCCUGGUAGCGCAGCUAACGCGUGAAGUUGACCGCCUGGGAGUACGGUCGCAAGAUUAAAAACUCAAAGGAAUUUGACGGGGACCUGCACAAGCGGUGGAUGAUGUGGAUUAAUUCGAUGCAACGCGAAAAACCUUACCUACCCUUGACAUGUCUGGAAUCCCGAAGGAUUUGGGAGUGCUGCAAGAGAACCGGAACACAGGUGCUGUACGGCUGUCGUCAGCUCGUGUCGUGAGAUGUUGGGUUAAUCCCGCAACGAGCGCAACCCUUGUCAUUAGUUGCUACGAAAGGGCACUCUAAUGAGACUGCCGGUGACAAACCGGAGGAAGGUGGGGAUGACGUCAAGUCCUCAUGGCCCUUAUGGGUAGGGCUUCACACGUCAUACAAUGGUCGGGACAGAGGGUCGCCAACCCGCGAGGGGAGCCAAUCCCAGAAACCUGAUCGUAGUCCGGAUCGCAGUCUGCAACUGACUGCGUGAAGUCGGAAUCGCCAGGCAAUCGCGGAAUGUGCAUGUCGCGGUGAAUACGUUCCUGGGUCUUGUACACACCUCGCCCGUCACACCAUGGGAGUGGGUUUUACCAGAAGUAGUUAGCCUAACCGUAAGGAGGGCGAUUACCACGGUAGGAUUCAUGACUGGGGUGAAGUCGCAACAAGGUAG
rnacentral:rRNA from 1 species